rnacentral:rRNA from 1 species
CCUACGGGCGGCUGCAGUGGGGAAUUUUGGACAAUGGGGGCAACCCUGAUCCAGCCAUGCCGCGUGAGUGAAGAAGGCCUUCGGGUUGUAAAGCUCUUUCGGCCGGGAAGAAAUCGCAUAGGCUAAUACCCUGUGUGGAUGACGGUACCGGAAUAAGAAGCACCGGCUAACUACGUGCCAGCAGCCGCGGUAAUACGUAGGGUGCGAGCGUUAAUCGGAAUUACUGGGCGUAAAGCGUGCGCAGGCGGUUUAGUAAGACAGGCGUGAAAUCCCCGGGCUCAACCUGGGAACUGCGCUUGUGACUGCUAAGCUAGAGUACGGCAGAGGGGGGUGGAAUUCCACGUGUAGCAGUGAAAUGCGUAGAGAUGUGGAGGAACACCGAUGGCGAAGGCAGCCCCCUGGGCCGAUACUGACGCUCAUGCACGAAAGCGUGGGUAGCAAACAGGAUUAGAUACCCCAGUAGUC